AUCUAGCCAUGGGCAGGUUGAAGGUUGGGUAACACUAACUGGAGGACCGAACCGACUAAUGUUGAAAAAUUAGCGGAUGACCUGUGGCUGGGGGUGAAAGGCCAAUCAAACCGGGAGAUAGCUGGUUCUCCCCGAAAGCUAUUUAGGUAGCGCCUCGUGAACUCAUCUCCGGGGGUAGAGCACUGUUUCGGCUAGGGGGCCAUCCCGGCUUACCAACCCGAUGCAAACUGCGAAUACCGGAGAAUGUUAUCACGGGAGACACACGGCGGGUGCUAACGUCCGUCGUGAAGAGGGAAACAACCCAGACCGCCAGCUAAGGUCCCAAAGUCAUGGUUAAGUGGGAAACGAUGUGGGAAGGCCCAGACAGCCAGGAUGUUGGCUUAGAAGCAGCCAUCAUUUAAAGAAAGCGUAAUAGCUCACUGGUCGAGUCGGCCUGCGCGGAAGAUGUAACGGGGCUAAACCAUGCACCGAAGCUGCGGCAGCGACACUAUGUGUUGUUGGGUAGGGGAGCGUUCUGUAAGCCUGUGAAGGUGUGCUGUGAGGCAUGCUGGAGGUAUCAGAAGUGCGAAUGCUGACAUAAGUAACGAUAAAGCGGGUGAAAAGCCCGCUCGCCGGAAGACCAAGGGUUCCUGUCCAACGUUAAUCGGGGCAGGGUGAGUCGACCCCUAAGGCGAGGCCGAAAGGCGUAGUCGAUGGGAAACAGGUUAAUAUUCCUGUACUUGGUGUUACUGCGAAGGGGGGACGGAGAAGGCUAUGUCGGCCGGGCGACGGUUGUCCCGGUUUAAGCGUGUAGGCUGACUUUCCAGGCAAAUCCGGAAAGUUAAGGCUGAGGCGUGAUGACGAGGCACCACGGUGCUGAAGUGACAAAUGCCCUGCUUCCAGGAAAAGCCUCUAAGCAUCAGGUAACAUCAAAUCGUACCCCAAACCGACACAGGUGGUCAGGUAGAGAAUACCAAGGCGCUUGAGAGAACUCGGGUGAAGGAACUAGGCAAAAUGGUGCCGUAACUUCGGGAGAAGGCACGCUGACAUGUAGGUGAAGCCCCUGCGGGUGGAGCUGAAGUCAGUCGAAGAUACCAGCUGGCUGCAACUGUUUAUUAAAAACACAGCACUGUGCAAACACGAAAGUGGACGUAUACGGUGUGACGCCUGCCCGGUGCCGGAAGGUUAAUUGAUGGGGUUAUCGCAAGAGAAGCUCCUGAUCGAAGCCCCGGUAAACGGCGGCCGUAACUAUAACGGUCCUAAGGUAGCGAAAUUCCUUGUCGGGUAAGUUCCGACCUGCACGAAUGGCGUAAUGAUGGCCAGGCUGUCUCCACCCGAGACUCAGUGAAAUUGAACUCGCUGUGAAGAUGCAGUGUACCCGCGGCAAGACGGAAAGACCCCGUGAACCUUUACUACAGCUUGACACUGAACAUUGAGCCUUGAUGUGUAGGAUAGGUGGGAGGCUUUGAAGCGUGGACGCCAGUCUGCGUGGAGCCGACCUUGAAAUACCACCCUUUAAUGUUUGAUGUUCUAACCUGGCGCCGUGAUCCGGCGUGGGGACAGUGUCUGGUGGGUAGUUUGACUGGGGCGGUCUCCUCCCAAAGUGUAACGGAGGAGCACGAAGGUCAGCUAAUCCUGGUCGGACAUCAGGAGGUUAGUGCAAUGGCAUAAGCUGGCUUGACUGCGAGAGUGACGGCUCGAGCAGGUGCGAAAGCAGGUCAUAGUGAUCCGGUGGUUCUGUAUGGAAGGGCCAUCGCUCAACGGAUAAAAGGUACUCCGGGGAUAACAGGCUGAUACCGCCCAAGAGUUCAUAUCGACGGCGGUGUUUGGCACCUCGAUGUCGGCUCAUCACAUCCUGGGGCUGAAGUAGGUCCCAAGGGUAUGGCUGUUCGCCAUUUAAAGUGGUACGCGAGCUGGGUUUAGAACGUCGUGAGACAGUUCGGUCCCUAUCUGCCGUGGGCGCUGGAGAAUUGAGGGGGGCUGCUCCCAGUACGAGAGGACCGGAGUGGACGCAUCACUGGUGUUCGGGUUGUCAUGCCAAUGGCACUGCCCGGUAGCUAAAUGCGGAAGAGAUAAGUGCUGAAAGCAUCUAAGCACGAAACUUGCCCCG
rnacentral:rRNA from 1 species